CACGGUGGCUCACGCCUGUAAUCCCAACAAUUUGGGAGGCCGAGGCGGGCAGAUCACAAGGUCAGGAGUUCAAGACCAGCCAGGCCAACAUGGUGAAACCCCGUCUCUACUAAAAAAAUACAAAAAUUAGCCAGGCAUAGUGGUGGGCACCUGUAGUCCCAGCUACUUGGGAGGCUGAGGCAGGAGAAUUGCUUGAACCUGGGAGGCAGAGGUUGCAGUAAGCCGAGAUUGCACCACUGCACUCCAGCCUGGGCAACAGAGCAAUACUCCGUCUCAAAAAAAAAAAAAAAAAAAACACAUCAAUGACAAUCUCAAUUUACCAUUGUGCCACAAAAAAAUACACAGACAUAGGGAGGAAGGAGGAGGAUUUACUGUUUAAUGAGUACAGAGUUUCAAUUUGGGAUGAUAAAAAAGGUUCUGAAGAUGGAUGGUGGUGAUAACAGUUGCUCAACAAUGUAAGUGUGCUUAAUUCUUCUUAAAAAUGAUUAAAAUGUAAAUUUUAUGUUGUAUUUUUACCAUAAUAAAAAAUAUAUUGCAUGAAAAAUACAUAUUUACAUAGACAAAAAUCUGGCUGAAUGUAAUGAAGAUGUUAUCCUAAACUAAUAAGAAAUAUCUGCAUUUAUCUUUGGGAACUGAAAACAUUUAUAUAAAUAUUCGAUUGAAUGAACCUCUGAGGAGCAACUUAAAAAUAAAGACUCAAACAGCAAAAUGUAUUUUAAAUGUUUAAUUUAAAAGGUAAUACUUACAACUAGAAAAAUGGAUAGCAUACUAUGUUGAUUGAAAUUCCAUAUAAAUUUCAAACUGUCUUUAUAUGUCCACUGCAGAGUUUCUAUCUAUCAAGGCAUGUAUGGAAGUUACUCUGUGCCAAAUAUUAUUCUAAGAUCAAUCUUUAUAAUAACAUGAUGGAAAUCUUUAUAAUAACAUGAUGGAAGGGAUGCUAUUAACAUCUUCCUUUUACAGAUAAGGAACUUGAAGCAGAGUGACUAAGCAAUUUGCCCAAGAUGAUCAGCUUGUGAAACUAUGGAAUGCAGAUUUAAGACCAAGAAGUUCAAAUCCAUGGUCUAUGCACUUAAUCAUCAUGCUAUGCUUGAACUCACACACUUCUCCUUCCUGACACCACAUGAAGAAGAAUGUGUUGCUUCCCCUUCUGCCACAAUUGUAAGCUUCCUGAGGCCUUCUCAGCCAUGCUGAAGUGUGAUUCAAUUAAACCUCUUUCCUUUGUAAAUUACCCAGUCUCAGGUAUGUCUUUAUUAGCAACAGGAGAACAGACUAGUAAAUUGGUGCCACAUAGAGUGGGGUGCUACUAUAAAGAUACCUGAAAAUGUGGAAGCAACUUUGGAACUGGGUAACAGGCAGAGGUUGGAACAGUUUGGAUGGCUCAGAAGAAGACUGAAGAAAUGUGGGAAAGUUUGGAACUUCCUAGAGACUUAGAGGGCUCAGAAGACAAGAAGACAUGAAAACGUUUGCAACUUCCUAGAGACUUGUUGAAUGGCUUUGAGCAAAACACUGAGAGUUAUAUGGACAGUGAUUUCCGGCUGAGGUGGUCUCAGAUAAAGAUGGGGAACUUGUUGGGAACUGGAGUGAAGGUCACUGUUGCUAUACAAAGAGACUGGCAGCAUUUUGCCCCUGUCCCAGACAUCUGUGAAACUUUGAACUUGAGAGAAAUAAUUUAGGGUAUCUGGUGGAAGAAAUUUCUAAGCGGCAAAGCUUUCAAGAGGAAGCAGAGCAUAAAAGUUUUGAAACUUUGUGCCCAAUGAUGCAAUGGAAAGGAAAACACCAUUUUCUGAGGAGAAAUUAAGCCAGCUGCAUAAAUUUGCGUAAGUAAUGAGGAUUUGAAUGUUAAUCACCAAGACAAUGGAGAAAAUGUCUCCAGAGCAUGUUAGAGACUUUCAUGGCAGCCCCUCCCCAUCACAGGCCCAGAGGCCUAAGAGGAAAAAUGGUUUCCUGGGCCAGGUCCAGGGUCCCCCUGCUGUGUGUAGGCAUGGGACUUGGUGCCCUGCAUCCCAGCCGCUCCAGCUGAGGCUAACAAUGCCUGUACCCCCAUUGUAUCUAGGGAGUAACUAACUUGCUUUUGAUUUUACAGGCUCAUAGGUAGAGGGGACUUGCCUUGUCUCAGAUGAGACUUUGGACUUAGACUUUUGAGUUAAUGCUGGAAUGAGUUAAGACUUUGAGGGACUGUUGGAAGGGCACGACUGUAUUAUGAAUUGUGAGGACAUGAGAUCUUGAAGGGGCCAGGGGCAAAAUGAUAUGAUUCAGCUGUGUUCCCACCCAAAUCUCAUCCCGAAGUGUAGUUCCAUAAUCCCCACAUGUCACUGGAGGAUCCCAGUGGAAGGUAAUUUAAUCAUAGGGGCAGUUACCCUCAUGUUGCUCUCAUGAUAGUGAGUUCUCAUGAGAUCUGACGGUUUUAUAAGGGGCUUUUCCCCCUCUUCACUCAACACUUCUCCUUCCUGCCACCAUGUGAAAAGGACGUGUUUGCUUCCCCUUCCACCAUGAUUGUAAGUUUCCUGAGGCCUUCCCAGCCAUGCUGAAGUGUGAUUCAAUUAAACCUCUUUCCUUUAUAAAUUAACCAGUCUCAGGUAUGUCUUUAUUAGCAGCAUGAGAACAGACUAAUACAAUAAGAAUGAGUGAGUAAGGGCUCCAAUAAGCAGAAGAAACCAAGAAUGUUGGGAGACAAAAUGUUAGGGUCAGACUAACCAGAAAGGCUCAAUGGCCAGAGCCAGAAGAGUCUGUGUGUGUCUGAACACUCAUAGGAAAAGAACUUUUUAGUAGGAAUGUAAUUAGGUUGAACCUGUGGGUAUAAAAAGUAAUAAAGAUUCAAAGAAGUUUGAAAUUAAAGCCUAAGUGAUAAGAUGGAACAAAGAUUAUAUAUGUUAGGAAGUGUUAUUCAUGUUAUAGUCUCAUGUUUAUUGCACUGUGUCAUUAUUUAGCAUAUAUUUCUAGUAAUUUUUACUGAUAUGUACUAAAAAAUUGUGGCAUGAUGCCCACCUCCUGGUGGUCAUGUCCUUAUAUGAUAUCACCUUGAGAGUAGGCAGGACCUGUGAUUUGCUUCUUCUAACUAAUAGAAUACAGCAGAGACAACAGGUUGUAUGUGAUUAUGUGUGUGUGAUUAUGUGGUCACAUUAGAUUAGACUGUAGCACUCGUUUUGCUGAAACCACUUUCCUUGCUGACUUUGAGAAAGUAAGUGGUCAUGUUGGGGAAACCCAUAUAGCAAGGAACUAUGCACAGCCUGUAGGAACUAAAGGUGGCCUCCAGAAAAUAGCCAGCAAGAAAUCGAAGCCCUCAGUCUUACACCCUCAACUAACAGAAUUCUGCUAACAACCUGAGUGAGCUCAGAAGUAGAUUGUCCCCAUUCGAGCAUCAGAUGAAACCACAGCCCCAGCCAAUACUUUGAUUGUAGCCUUGUUAGACACAAACCACAGGACUCAUUUCAGCUAACUCCUGACCCACAGACACCAUGUAGUAAUAAAUGUACGUUGUUACAAGACACAAAGUUUGUGGUAUGAUUGUUAGAUGACUAUUAUGCAGCAAUAGAUAACUAAUGCAGAACUAUAUGUUUAAUUCCAUGACUUUUAACUAUGAAACCUCAUGAUGCCUGAACCUGGUACCCUAAACAAUCGAGGAAACUAGC
rnacentral:lncRNA from 1 species